CAAACUCUCGUCCUGGAUGUUCUCAUUCAGUGCGACUGGGGUGAGGCAUGACGACUGUAUUUUCAUCAGGCAUUCCAGGCGACUCUCAUGAGGAGGUAAGUGAGAAACACAUCAGGUGUUAUCAUUACCCCCACUUUACUGAUAAGGAGAGCGAGUCUUAGACCAGGGCUUCUCCCAUGCGCUCUAAUGUGCAGGAGAGUCACCCGGGGAUUCUGAUUCGCUGUGGGCAGACAAUGGCGGACAAACAUGGGUGCGUGCCUCGCUCUCUCUCCCUGGCAACCCUCCAAAUGGCAUGAGCAGCUGCUGAGGCCUGAACUCACCUGGCACCCACACUUACAGCUUUUUGAAGAUGGAGACAAAAGCCAGGCUGCCCUGCCCUUGAGAUCAGAGAGGGAACAGACGUCCAUGGCCUGAUUAACUAGAAUGCCAGACCACCGGAGACAGACAAACAUUCCAACCACAAAAUUCAUUUGGAAGACUCAAAGCAGAGAAUGCUGUCAAAGAAGACUGGCUGUAAUUUCAGAAGCCAUAAGAGGCACCACUUGACAUGAAUAAUAAAAAUAAAAGCUGUCAUUCACCGAGGGACUGCUGUUGCUGGUCGCUGUUCUCAGUUCUCUCCACGCAUGAUCUCCCUUCAUCCUGGAGUAGGUACUUUUGGCCCCUCUGAAUAGGCCAGGGGAUGCACGUUCAGAAGUCCCCAGGUCACACACAUCUCUUCAGUGGCAGAGAUGGGGUCUGAACCCCUCCCUAGCUCUUAACCACUUUGUGUUCUCCUUCUCACUCUGGUAGCUGAGCCUCGUAUAUCAUUGCCUGCUUUGGCCUUUAAACAAAGAAAUAUUCUUCCUCUGACUAUGCAGUGUAAUAAUUAUCCCAGAUGAGCCGAGGGGAGACGGAGCCCAGCUUCUCUGUACCCACAUCCAUCUCUCCAAGUGCCUGCUCUCCAGCGAGUAAACAGACAGAC
rnacentral:lncRNA from 1 species